UGUUGUUUGUUUUAUUUUGUUUGUUUGUUUAUCUCCUAAGCUGAUAUGAAGGAAAGAUGGAAACAGCCUGCUGAAGGUCAAGGUGAGACUGACCAUCAGUUCACCCAAGUGCUGGUAUUCAUUCACCAGCAGAAAUCCGUGCUCACAGGUGCUGGAAGUCUCCUCAGCAACAGAAACAGCGUGCUGCAGGGGACAAACAACUAGUCCUGACCUUCUUUACACAGCCCUUCUCUGGGAAAAAGUAUCCCCUGAAGUCAAUAUGCAUUCUGCCUAGCUUUCAUCAGAAGAAAAACGUCUGGAUUGAAAUGACAACAACAAAUAAUAGGUAAAGGAUGCUUCCCUAUGGCUUCAUAGAUCUGCUGUGUAACAGAAAACAUUCAGCCCUGAGCACACAAGAGCUGUAGUUCACGUCUCCCUCCAAAGAAGCCUCAUUUUAAAGAAUGUUGUAGCAUACCUACCUAAUGCAGAUGCUGUGCUGCAGGCAUUUCAGGCUGUGAAUUUCAGCCUGUGCCCUUGGCUAGGCUGUUGAGGACAAGUUGCAGUACCUGUCCUUCUUGCAGAGAUCCCAGUCCACCUUCAGCCGUGUCACUCACUGCUUGCGAGCUCCCUGUUUUGCUGUGCAUCAAAGUUUCAUUUCGUUCCCUUCCCUCCCUUUUCUUUAGGUGUCAGUGAUUUGCACUCUCUCCACCUAAAUCAGAGAUCUGGCACAUCAAUACUUAGAAGGCUUAGGAGAAGAGGAAAACAUCAAUAUUUCACUGAACACACAAAGUUGCACAACUCCCCAGUCUCCAUUUUAAUGUCAGCUGUGGUUAGUUUGGGUUUUUUUUCCAUAGGCUGACUGAUUUCAGCUUGUCUUUGAAUACUACCUGUGCAAAUAGCUUGGUUUUCUCCAUUGCUAGUGUUAACAAGGAACCGUGAGGUGUUUGUUCAGGCUCACUAGUCAGGCAGUCUGGAGGUGGCUGACUUCUAGGAAAAGCCCCAGCAGGAAUAAGCAAGAGCCAGCCUAUGCACCAGGCACAGCUUUUGCGGGUCUUUAGCUUAUGCUCCAGCUCGCGCUUAUCUUCAACUAAUUGCCAUCAGCAACUGUAAUAUAGACAAAUGCAAAGGAAAACAAGCUGGACGCUUAGUCAUGGAGCUGCGCUUAGGAAUUAUGGCCCAUUAUAAGGCAGCUUCACUGACUACAGCGGAGCUGUGCCAGCUCACUGCAAUUUAGGACUUGCUCCGCUUGCAUUAGUCCACAGUCUGAAGUUUGCGAUCUCGUCCUUUGUGUGAACUAGAUCACGCAGAUGGGGGUACCGGCGUCACAGGGAAGUCGAGCAGAGUUCCGCAUGAGUACCGGCGUGAGAAGGAGCAGCAAUUAUCUCUAAAUUCACUCUGCCGGCCUGUCGUUUCUGAGCUCUCCCCCUGCUGCUCUGUAACUGGAAGCCUUGCGCUCUAGAAGAAGGGAAGAAGAACAUUUUGCUCAUGCUCAUAUUAACCGAGUCGUCUUGUGAGAUGCUGAAUCUGUGAAAUUGUAUCUCCCGUGGUGUUCAGUGGUAAUGACUGUCUCCUAUGUGGACUCUCUGGUGUCUAGUAGUACAGUUGUGUUUCUACAGUGGAUACACUCCCAGGGUUUUCCUCCUCUGCCUGCCUACUUCCACAGCACUUGUAGGCAGCUCAAACCUUUGAGACUUCCAUCCCCUGUCAAGUUUGAUCAAACUCAGCUCACAGGUUCAAAAAAUUAUUUAGGAGGGACUGACUGGCACUUACACAGACAGUGUGAUCUCGUAAGCUUCCUUUCCUUGGGAAACUAGGCUACCACCCUAGCAACGGGGGAAAAAAAUGCCAUUCUGCUAGCAAAAAGGACCUAAACAUUGGGAGGAAAGAGGGAAGGUGGGAGAGGAAAGUGAAGCUGUUUUGAAGGGAAAAAUAUCACUGCGUUGUGGCUGCAGAGCUCUUGCACACUUAAGGAGCCAACCUUGGAGAGGCACACUGGAGAAAAUAUUCUCCAGAAGAUGGCAAGAUCUCUUGUGAAAAUUAGUAGGGGAGAGAAAUCAGCUGGAUUCGUCUCACCACCAGGCAUCCUAAAUGGAUAUUUAUAUGGUAAGGAUUGUCUCCGGUGGUACCCGUUUCUCUCUACUGACUAGAGGAAGACACGGACACAACUAGCAUGCAAUCCAUGUGCCUGCAAUAUCUGAAGUGAGGUGGGUCCUAUCCCAAAGGGAAUGAUCCUCUUACCACUCUCUCCUUCAGACCAAAGUUUUCCAUGGUGCUGCUGCAGGGUUUGUUACUCCAUGUACAGCAUUUGUAUUUUAGAAAAACUGCUGUGUCUUAAUAGCUACAGAUGUAUGCAUGGUUUUAGUGGGCAUUUAUAAGCACUUAUCCUCUGUGCACUAAAACCUUUCCUGUCCUUGUAUCUUACGGAAUAAAAUCCUUUAAGUGAGCUUUAAUGAUUCUAGUACUACUUCUUCACAAAUUGGAGAGCUGUCAUCCUGUUUUUAUUUGAUAUCACACAAUGUUUGAGGCUGUCAAAAGUAUUAUAGGGCAUACUCAUAUAAACUGAUACUUAAUUUCAGUAGUUAUAAUGUCACUAAUUGUAUUUUUGCACCUGAUGCAAUUACUGACAUUCAGCUCUUGAGUUCUGCUUUGUUCUUUCUGGAUUUAGGUGUUCCUUACUCUUUAAUCUUCCCCACCUACGGUAUAUCGUACAUACAAUGGAACUCGGAAAUAAAAGCUCAGACCUUCCCAUCAAUUGCUGUGCGCCAAAUGCACAUGAUAGUUUGAAAUUCUGGGUGUACCCAGAGUGCAGGAUAUGCUCAAAACCCCACUUCCUAUUACCAUGGCAUUUUUAUGAGGCUUAGAGUGGGUUGUGUUAUCCAGAUGUUGCACAGUGCUUAAGUGCUUGUACUUGCCUAUUGCUAAAGGCCUUCCAUUUGCAAUUUUUAGAGGGCUUUUUUGCUUGUAGCCUUUCACUUUACGUACUCUGGGCUUCCCCUCACGGCCUUGCACUGGUGCAUUUGUUAUGUUAUAUUGCCUGAGAAAGGGCUUGCUUCCUACGGCUCAGCCAUCCUUCUGUCCUCUUCACCUCUACCUUCCCAGCACGUUGCUGUUGAGUUACAGUUUGUAGUCUGCACUGAGAUUCCCGUACCCUGUCCACUUGGUGCCUUCUAGACUGAUGACUCUGUAUUAGAACAAAUAUGACAGAUAAUGAGUAAAUAAUAGUCAUUUAAAUACAUAAGUAUUACCUAAUUACAGACAUGUACAAGGCUUAGCAGCCAAUUAGCGUGCAACAUUUGUACCUAAUUAAACAUAAUCCAGUCAGUGCCAGUGUUGUCAUCAGACAAAGAUCACUGAAAGGCAACUUGAGCAGGCUUUAAUGAAGGGUAUAAUUUUACCAGGGGAAAAUUAUAGGGGGUGGUUGUUGAUAAGAUGGUGAUCCCCUGCUGCAAUGGAGCAGACACCCAGGAGAGGACGUUGACCUGAGGACUCCCGACUGCAUCUCUUCUUGGCUGGCCACUGGCUACAAUUUUCCAUUUAAUCUUGAACUUGAUGUAUGCCAUCCGCUACAAAACCAGUGAAUAAAGCAUGUGCUUUCUGCCUGUU